UCACAUUGCAAAAAUUAACGUUGAUGAAAUCCUAAAUAACUUUUAGGGCACUUGAACAUUAGGAGAAAAUAUCUGAAAUAUAUAUUUUGCUGGAGCAUAGAUUUGGACACCUCAGGAACUUGAAUGAAGAAACAUGUGACCAUCACUACUGGACUGUUCCUUCAGGGUCCUGUUAGCUAGCCAUCCUGCUUCAGUAGAGGUUUAGAGUUAGGCCAUUGUCAUGUUUCUAUCACUCCGUCCAUCCUUGGUAUCUUAAGUAGGCCACCAUUUAGUGUUAAUUUCUCACACUUUUCCCACAAUUAGUAUUUCAAAUGUAGUGAGCUUCCUCGUGCUGAUAACUGUCCCUUCUUUCCCUGCUGCAGCAUCGUCAUGUCAGCUGUGAAGGUGUUGCUGAAGGGAGGUUUUCAAGUCUUCACAGGCCUUCACAAGUCCUCCAGGGAAUGAAGGUACCUGGUUUUUAGCUUACUAAUUGGGUCAUCUGAAGCACGGGGUCGCUGCCAGCCGGGCCAGGCGCCGCGGGACAAUGUGGCGCUGGAAUACUCCAGUAACAAUGGGCAGACGUGGGCAGCACUGCAGCGCUUGGAGCCUCAGCACACUACUCGCAGAAAGGAGCCGUUCUUCGUCCCGCUCCCACCCGCAGCCCGCACCAGGCACACUCGCUUCCGCUGGUGGCAGGCGCCUGGGGACAUGCUCUUAGCAGACGAACCUUUUCCUGGUGAGUUCCCGAGGAUCAGGCCACCGGAUUUAAUGACAUGGUAAAGAGAAACAUUUCAUGUGAUUGGCAGCUACACUCCUCACGAGUAUCAAGUGAAAAGGUUAAUAAGUGCACAAAGAAAAUUAGAGAAUAAGAAUGGAAGCAAACAUCAUGGAUUAGGUGAAAAAAAUGGUUUCUAUAAGUUACUAAUGAUAACUGAGUAGAAUGUGGACUUGGCAGGUCAUAUCAUGCAUAUCGUCAGCUUUCUCGAGGUUAGGUGUUCUGAAUCGUCUCUGCCAGUUCUUCUCCCCCGCACAGAUGCUGUCCAUUUACAAGGACCUUGUCUGCCCUCGUAUGGGGUAUAUGUCUCAUGGGUGAG